UCCGCCAACACGAGAAAUGGCUGCAGCUCCGUAAUAGAGCACAACUGUGGUGUAAUUGCUAGAUUGUUGGACGAGGACCUGGGUUCAAAUCCCCCACUCAACCAUGAAGCUCACGCCUUAGGCCAGUUACAGCCUCUCAGCCUAACCUAACUCUUAGGAAUGUUGUGAGGAUAAAACGGGGGAGAGAGUUGUACGUGCCAUCUUGAGCUACUUGGAGAAAAGUUGGGAUAUAAGUAUAAUAAUAAUUUAACAAAUAGAGACAGCACCUGGCUCAGUCCUAUUAAAAGGAGGAUCCGGGUGGCAGGUGAUGUGAGAGAGCUUCUGCCUGAGAGACUGUUCCAAGUUAGUGGAACAAAUAGACUGAGCUUACAUAAGGGGCAGCCCCCUGUUUCCCCUUCUUACAAAACAGCCCUGCAUGGUAGGCCAGUAUUGCGGUUUCUGUGUUGCAGUGGGAUGGCUGAGGUCUGGAGAAAACUAGCCUGUCUAGGGCCUCAUCCGCAGCACAUAUUAAAACCAGUAAUAUACCGCUUUAUAAACAGUUGUGCCUUUCCCCAAAGAAUCCUGGGAACUGUAGUUUGUUAAGGGGAGCUGGGAGUGGUGAGGAGACCCAGCUAUUCCCCUCACAAAGUGGUCUUAACAAUAAAUUUGCAGUGGGGUUUCACAAUCAAUUCCUUUUUUCAAGGAACUCUGUGAGGGGGAAUAGGGGGUCUCCUAAAAACUCCCAGCACCCUCAACAAACUACAGUUCCCAGGAUUCUUUGGGAGAAGCCACGGCUGUUUAUAAAGUGGCAUGUUGCUGCUUCAAAUGUAUAAUACAGAUGAGGCCACGGCUAGUGAGUUUAAGAUGGAGGAGGAGGAGGGGAGAUUUCAGCGGAGGACUUCCUGACUGAGAGCACAGUUGAUUUAAUCGCUGCACCUUGCCAGCCCCCUCCUCCCCAUUUGUGCCCCUUUUAACUUUCAGCAAAGAAGCCUGUGAAGGGCAUUACUUUCCUUUCCUGCUUGCCAUUCUCCUAGAGGGCAGCAAGAAGUUGAAUAGGCCUCUACUUUUGCUGCUUCAGCGGUAUGGGGUGACUCAUGUGUCUGCACACACGCUGCCAUGCGCUUUUUAUGAAUGAGCAUGCAACUGAAUCAGCCGACGGGAGCUGGCUUGGCAGUCUGCAGGUCUUGCGUGAAAGCUAAACCCACACACAUUACCGAUUCAUUAAUAAAAGAAAAAACCUGA